rnacentral:lncRNA from 1 species
GAGUCAGGAGGAGCUGUCUCCUAGCCCACCUUUGUUGAAUCCAUCCACACCACAGUCUACAGAGAGUCAGCCACCUACUGGUGAACCAGCCACCCCCAAGAGGCGCAAAGCAGAGCCAGAGGCACUGCAGUCUCUCAGGAGGUCCACGCGGCACAGCACCAACUGUGACAGGCUGUCUGAAAGCAGCUCGUCACCUCAGCCGAAGCGCAGGCAACAGGACACAUCCACCAGCAUGCCGAAGCUGUUUCUGCACUUGGAAAAGAAUGCUUUGUUUUCAUCUACAUCUGUGCACCAUGGUGCCUAGUGCCCCCAGAAGCCAAAAGAAGAGACACCUGUGCAUAGCAGAUCAUCUUCCCCCAUUCCUCUGACUCCAAGUAAGGAUGGGAGUGCUGUAUUCGCUGGCUUCGAAGGGAGAAGAACCAAUGAAAUCAAUGAGGUACUGUCUUGGAAACUUGUGCCUGACAAUUACCCACCAGGAGACCAGCCACCUCCCCCUUCAUACAUUUAUGGUGCACAGCAUUUGCUCAGAUUAUUUGUGAAACUUCCAGAAAUCCUUGGGAAGAUGUCCUUCUCUGAGAAGAAUCUGAAGGCUUUACUGAAGCACUUUGAUCUCUUUCUGAGGUUUUUAGCAGAAUACCAUGAUGACUUCUUCCCGGAGUCGGCUUAUGUUGCUGCCUGUGAGGCACACUACAGCACCAAGAACCCCAGGGCAAUUUAUUAAACUUUUGAUGGUUUUGAGAAAA